rnacentral:lncRNA from 1 species
CUGUUCUCUGUCGUUUGCCGAACCUUCCAAAAAGAUAACCAAAAGAAAAACAUGGAUCUUCUAGGUAGGCAAAUCUGCAGGCAGCCACAGCAUCCUGAUUGUUUGGAGCAGAGCGCUCCAUCCUUGUCCGGUUGAACAUGCCUUUUCUUCACCACAGGUACAUAAUUUUUCUGAAAUCCCUACAGAAGUCCCUGUAUAAUUAAAUAUCAGUGAUGUAAGUUGUAACUCAGCACCUUAAACAUUUAGGUUGAAAUGAACACACACGCUGAUCAAGUACAUCUAUCAAGUGCCUCCGCUACUCCACACCUACUUAUCAAGAACAAGAGCUCUCAUUAUAAAGGCCAAAAGAUUCAGUUACUAAACUACAAUAAAAUAUAUGCUUCGUUUCUACAGAUUUCAGGUAUCAAAUUAAGAUUUAUACCUGUUUAAACAUCCAAACAACUCUUCUCCUGUGGCCUUUACGUCUCCUAGCAAUAUUUCAAUGCUAGCCAACUUAGCUUGAGAAUAAAUAACUAAUCAACAUCGACAUGAAUAAUCCAGUUAUUUUUCCGGAGAAUCCAAAAGUUGAGACAGUGCAUCAUAGAGACUAUGAUGCCUACUUUUCCACAAGGAACAAAAGAAAACCCAGCAUCCGCUACACCAAAGUAUUGCCAACAUUCUAACUAAUAUUAGAAGAUACCACUUACCCGAUGCAAUAAAUUAAGUGUUGGAUUUAUGAUAGCUGUGGCGACCUGAAUCUGGGCACAUGUGUUUUGUAACAGCGCAGAUUUUCUUUGACAACUUCGCCAAUUUUUAUAGCUUGGCAUUUUUUUGGCCAGAAACUUUCUUUCUUUUUGAUAAUUUGACUAACAGUACCUUUUAUCUUCAGUUUGGAUUGGCAGGAAAACCUGCCUCCUGUUUCCCGUCGUUUACCGAAGAACAGUGGUAACACUGAUUUCAUCUGUGGGAGCACUGGUUUCAUUCUUGCAAAACUGCUGCGUAUUUCUGUGCGUCGGAGAUGUCGAGGCUGCACAGGCAUGGUUUUCAAGCUACAUUGCUGUCGUUUAUCAUACCAUACCUUCCAUGUACUAAUACCCUGUAUUGACAUUCAGGUACUGAAUGUGUGACCUUUCUCAACCAAGUGAACCAACCAGCAGUUCGGCACAGCCCGUAGAGCAGCAAACGUACCCUGUAUUGACAUCAUCAAGGAAAUUAAGAGCAAGUACACAAUAAAGAUUUGUAUUCGGAUAAUAGCAUGCCUCCUAUCGACAUUUGAACCUAGAGAUAGCAGGACAUCGAAGAUUUGCAUUUCUUUUUCCGUAGUUUUCUUCAUCUAAGUGGAAUCCAUGAUCUUCACUAUAUCAGAACAUGAGUGUAAAAUUAAGUACAUGAUCUUUC